UGACGGCUGACAUGCUCGAUGCUCCACCCUAUAUAUAAAUCCUUAUGAUCAGCCGCCUGCUGCCAGGGGACUCUCUGAAGCCAUACCUCACCUAUAUAAAGGCACGAGGUAACUCUCCAACAUGAAUGAAGAAUUCCAGACUGAGGGAUUAAUGCUAUUUUGGAUCAGGAUUGCAGCUCGUACAGCUCUCCCUUGGAUCUUCAUGUUCUGG